rnacentral:rRNA from 1 species
AGUGAACGCUGGCGGCAGGCCUAAUACAUGCAAGUCGAACGGCAGCACAGCAGAGCUUGCUCUGUGGGUGGCGAGUGGCGGACGGGUGAGGAAUACAUGGGAAUCUGCCCAGUCGUGGGGAUAACGUAGGGAAACUUACGCUAAUACCGCAUGCGCCCUUCGGGGGAAAGCCGGGGACCUUCGGGCCUGGCGCGAUUGGAUGAGCCCAUGUCGGAUUAGCUAGUUGGCGGGUAAUGGCCCACCAAGGCGACGAUCCGUAGCUGGUCUGAGAGGAUGAUCAGCCACACUGGAACUGAGACACGGUCCAGACUCCUACGGGAGGCAGCAGUAGGGAAUAUUGGACAAUGGGCGCAAGCCUGAUCCAGCCAUGCCGCGUGAGUGAAGAAGGCCCUCGGGUUGUAAAGCUCUUUUGUCCGGUAAAGAAAAGACGCCGGGUUAAUACCCUGGUGUCCUGACGGUACCGGAAGAAUAAGCACCGGCUAACGUUCGUGCCAGCAGCCGCGGUAA